UACCAGCACCCCGAGUGGUCGGGACGAUCAUUGGGCCUAAAGCAUCCGUAGCCGGUUCUACAAGUCUUCCGUUAAAUCCACCUGCUUAACAGAUGGGCUGCGGAGGAUACUAUAGAGCUAGGAGGCGGGAGAGGCAAGCGGUACUUAGUGGGUAGGGGUAAAAUCCGUUGAUCCAUUGAAGACCACCAGUGGCGAAGGCGGCUUGCCAGAACGCACUCGACGGUGAGGGAUGAAAGCUGGGGGAGCAAACCGG
rnacentral:rRNA from 1 species